rnacentral:rRNA from 1 species
ACGGACUAUACAUGCAAGUCGAGCGGACAGAUGGGAGCUUGCUCCCUGAUGUAGCGGCGGACGGGUGAGUAACACGUGGGUAACCUGCCUGUAAGACUGGGAUAACUCCGGGAAACCGGGGCUAAUACCGGAUGCUUGAUUGAACCGCAUGGUUCAAUUAUAAAAGGUGGCUUUUAGCUACCACUUACAGAUGGACCCGCGGCGCAUUAGCUAGUUGGUGAGGUAACGGCUCACCAAGGCAACGAUGCGUAGCCACCUGAGAGGGUGAUCGGCCACACUGGGACUGAGACACGGCCCAACUCCUACGGGAGGCAGCAGUAGGGAAUCUUCCGCAAUGGACGAAAGUCUGACGGAGCAACGCCGCGUGAGUGAUGAAGGUUUUCGGAUCGUAAAACUCUGUUGUUAGGGAAGAACAAGUACCGUUCGAAUAGGGCGGUACCUUGACGGUACCUAACCAGAAAGCCACGGCUAACUACGUGCCAGCAGCCGCGGUAAUACGUAGGUGGCAAGCGUUGUCCGGAAUUAUUGGGCGUAAAGCGCGCGCAGGCGGUUUCUUAAGUCUGAUGUGAAAGCCCCCGGCUCAACCGGGGAGGGUCAUUGGAAACUGGGGAACUUGAGUGCAGAAGAGGAGAGUGGAAUUCCACGUGUAGCGGUGAAAUGCGUAGAGAUGUGGAGGAACACCAGUGGCGAAGGCGACUCUCUGGUCUGUAACUGACGCUGAGGCGCGAAAGCGUGGGGAGCGAACAGGAUUAGAUACCCUGGUAGUCCACGCCGUAAACGAUGAGUGCUAAGUGUUAGAGGGUUUCCGCCCUUUAGUGCUGCAGCAAACGCAUUAAGCACUCCGCCUGGGGAGUACGGUCGCAAGACUGAAACUCAAAGGAAUUGACGGGGGCCCGCACAAGCGGUGGAGCAUGUGGUUUAAUUCGAAGCAACGCGAAGAACCUUACCAGGUCUUGACAUCCUCUGACACCCUAGAGAUAGGGCUUCCCCUUCGGGGCAGAGUGACAGUGUGCAUGUGUCGUCAGCUCGUGUCGUGAGAUGUGGUAGUCCCGCACGAGCGCAUCCUUGGAUCUAGUGGCAGCAUCAGUGCACUCUAGUGACUGCGUGACCAUCGAAGCAGGUGGGAUGACGUUCAUC